rnacentral:rRNA from 1 species
AGUGAACGCUGGCGGUAGGCCUAACACAUGCAAGUCGAACGGCAGCACAGUAAGAGCUUGCUCUUACGGGUGGCGAGUGGCGGACGGGUGAGGAAUACAUCGGAAUCUACUUUUUCGUGGGGGAUAACGUAGGGAAACUUACGCUAAUACCGCAUACGACCUACGGGUGAAAGCAGGGGAUCUUCGGACCUUGCGCGAUUGAAUGAGCCGAUGUCGGAUUAGCUAGUUGGCGGGGUAAAGGCCCACCAAGGCAACGAUCCGUAGCGGGUCCGAGAGGAUGAUCAGCCCCACUGGACCUGAAACCCGGUCCAGACUCCUACGGGAGGCAGCAGUGGGGAAUAUUGGACAAUGGGCGCAAGCCUGAUCCAGCCAUACCGCGUGGGUGAAGAAGGCCUUCGGGUUGUAAAGCCCUUUUGUUGGGAAAGAAAAGCAGCAGGUUAAUACCCCGCUGUUCUGACGGUACCCAAAGAAUAAGCACCGGCUACCUUCGU